rnacentral:rRNA from 1 species
UGGGGAAUAUUGGACAAUGGGGGAAACCCUGAUCCAGCAAUGCCGCGUGAAUGAAGAAGGCCUUAGGGUUGUAAAGUUCUUUCACCUGUGAAGAUAAUGACGGUAGCAGGAGAAGAAGCCCCGGCUAACUCCGUGCCAGCAGCCGCGGUAAGACGGAGGGGGCUAGCGUUGUUCGGAAUGACUGGGCGUAAAGGGCGCGUAGGCGGUUUUUUAAGUGAGGCGUGAAAGCCCUGGGCUUAACCCAGGAGGUGCGUUUCAGACUGGAAGACUUGAGUGCGAGAGAGGAAAGUGGAAUUUCUAGUGUAGAGGUGAAAUUCGUAGAUAUUAGAAAGAACACCCGUGGCGAAGGCGGCUUUCUGGCUCGCAACUGACGCUGAGGCGCGAAAGCGUGGGGAGCAAACA